UGGUCUGUGUCCCUCUCUUAUCCUGUUGUUUAGCGCUGUUUACUGCUCGGAAUCGUGAACCAACCGGCUCAAUUCCGCACUCUUCUGCAGUGAUCAAUUCAUCUCUCGGUUCUUCUUUUAGUUUAUAUUUGUCCUUCGCAAUGAACGGCAUCAGACUCGCCAAACUUGUGAAGGUUCCGUAUUUCGCAUUUAGUAUCGUAACGUUUGCACGCGUCACCUGUUUCGUGCCUUCAGUUUGCACUGAUGAUAGUCGACAGCUCAAUCUUAAGCAAUUACACCUACUGUAACGUAUGUCCCAGAACGUAUUUGCGCUUGUAUAUCUUAUUGUUGUGUUAUUCAUUGUUUAAUAUUUUCAUUCCCGCAAUACAUGUCAUGGGGCGCUAAAGCGUAAAGCUAUUCUAAACUGUUUCGGUUCCAUUUCUGCAAUCAGCCCUCCACGAUUGGUCAAACAUUUUUCAGGCUGUCGUGCUUCGCCUGUCUGUCACACGUUGUCACGAAAACCGCGAAAACUUCCAAUUCGAUAUUACGUGUGCACACUGAUUAUGCAUGAUUAGACCGAGCAAACGAAAAAUAAUUAUUCCUGAUUCAACACCUUUUUCGCCACUAACCCUCCGCUACUUCUCACAAGCUUUCUCGCUGCGCCCACUUCGCUUUUCCGUCACGAGACGUCGCAACACAGCGACAACUCAACACGUCAAAGUACGCAUUGCAGAUGCAUUAAUAUACCGAAGGAGACUGUGCUUUCUCCGUGAUAGUCGGAGAAUGCCCCGUUAUGAAAGGAAUAGAAGACGUCUACCCACCGAUCAGUCUAGCCCUGGCUAUUCGGAGCUGUCGGAGAGAACGGAGUUUUUUUGCGUAUAUUAUAAUUUUUAGGUGGCAGCAUAACUUUAGUGAGCCCUUUCGGCACGUAUUCGACAACGCUUUGCCAACUCUUUUUCGACGAGGAUCCGUUUUAGUGGCACUUCUCAACCUUCCGGUGUCACGCCGCCGCAAUUUUCGACCAGCCACCGCAAGCUAGGACAGGGGAAGCGGGCCAAUCCCAGAUGCCGGCGCCACCCUCCUCAUCCGGUUAUAUACUUUCACUGUGCUAGCUCAGACCCACCUAAACUCUCUCCACUUCUGCUCAUUCUUCGCCUGUUGUCAGCCAUUUAGGCAAGAAAAACCUGCCAAAGUGAUCAAUGUUAUUAGCUUUCGAAAGCAAACGAAAGUGACUUCGUAUAAACAUGGACAAUAUUUGAUUGGGCGGUUCCAACAACGCCGUGGGUCACCGUUCGAUACUUGCGGUUACGUAAAUUGCACAUCACGAGAUUGGAAUGAAAACAGAUUGGAAUAGCUUUACGUUACAGGACCCCACGUUUUGUUUUAUCAAAUCCCUAUUUAUCGUAUGCAAGAAAAUUUUGCUCAAUCUCGGGACGGGACACCGCUUCCUAUGUAGCGGUACAUACGCUAUUAAAUAAAACGAUUUUGAUUGUGAAAAAAAAAAUAUUAUUGAAGAAAGUCACUUAGUGCGCCAUCCAUAACAGCACUACACGCCAAGAGCUACAUGCCAAGAACGAUAACUACAUGCUACUACAUGCCAAGAACGAUAAAUACGCAAGCGUUAAGACGAUAAAAAAUAGUACGUCAGCUAGACAAAUGACAUGGCACCAACGACCAGCAUAACAACGAUGAGAACCAGAGUACAUCGACCGUGCUGAUCAUUACAUGAACGGGACCCUCAUUGCUGUCCUGGAACCGAUUUCACGCUGCAAUCUUCAGCGUCGGGGCCACCGAAGUCGAAGAUCAUCAUGACGACGACGGCGAUACACAUUUGGAAACGUCCCUCAUCUAUGGCAUAGUGGGUAUCGCAGUGGUGGCCUCGGUGGCGCUCGUUCUGAUAUCUAUCCUGACCAAUUUCGUCAAGAAGAGGGCGUCAGAAGAGAGGAGGUGCUCCAGCGCAAGCGAUGUGAACAGCAGAGACUCGUGGGUUAUUGUCUCCAACGAAGUUCCCGAAGUCUGCUCAAGAGAAGAGCCCGGAACACGUUUUUCGGGGUACGAUGUCCAGAAUUUCUCACCAAGUCUGCAGCAGACUAUCGAGCCCGCGGAUGCACAAUCGUCCACCACGCCCGGUUAGUCAACCUUGGAAAGACAGCCUCUGUCGUUCAGGCCUUCGUUUACUCCCCUGCAGGAGAAUAUUGUCAACAGAAACGCGCCGACUUCCGUAGCGGAAGAAGCCGACCGGGCUGUGUGAGACAAACUACACCGGCUGCGGAUGCUCAACGGUGAUUCUGAUGUAGUUGCUUCUUGUUGUCGCCUGGCAAAAUCAACGCCCUUUCGUCACCCCGUGCAGGAGAAUAUUGUCAACGGAAACACGCCGACUUCCGUAACGAAAGCCGACCGGGCUGUGUGACACAAACUGCACCGGCUGCGGGAUGCUCAGUGGUAAUCGUGAUGUAGUUGCUUCUUGUUGUCGCCUGACAAGUCAACGCACUUGGCCUCUAGCUUGGUGUUGUGCUCAAGCACGCGCCGCGGUGGCCCAUAGCCGUUCUUAGUUUGCGCAAGAAUUCGCAGUUUCUAACUACGAUCUCGAAACCAUGCAACCGUUUAAAAAGAAAAGAUAACUACGAAAAGUGCCGGUGCAUAUAAAAUUCGGCGCAUGCUAAACGACUUCGUUGGCGAUUUCGAAACCAUCGUAUUCGACUGGGUGCUGCUUAGUCGCUAGUGAUUAAUGGUGUCCGAAGGUUGUGCGCAGAAUCAUGCGGCAGGCGGCGAUAAUUACGAAAGUGUGAGCUGGUCUACAGGGAAAGGUUGGUCAGGUUGUUGGAUUCUGGUUGUGACAACUGCCUAGAUUUUUGACGCAUGCGAGGCAUUUGACAAAUACGCAGCCUGCCGCGAACGAUGCCGGUCGAUAUUCGGCGCAAGACUGCAUCUAACUAUGCAAAGCGCGUCGCAGGUAUGUGCUCCGCAGUGUGCUUCGUGUGCAGCGCAAGCUGUUACAAUGUGAACGUGUCAACGAGUUGUUAAUUGUGUCUCAGAAUAAAUGAGUUUUGCAACGAAAGGGAAGAGAGCAUUGGCAGAAACAGUGCCGGUGGGUGCAGUACUUGGUAACCCUUCAUUUGAUAGUCUAUUCUCAUUUCGUAUAUGUAACACCGUCUGGACAAUCCCGAUUCUUAUGAUGAGGCAACGACGUCGGAGUCAGCGAGGGAAUGCGAAGAGAAAGAAAAUAAGAUAUGCAGAUGUUGAUUGUUGUUGUUGAUGAUGAUGGUCAUCAUCAUCAUCAUCACCGUCAUCGUCACUUUAAAGCAACUCGUGGGUAGGGAGCCUUCUCAUCCGAAUAAAAUAUAGCGCUGUUUGGAGAAAGCCUGCGUGAUGAGCCAGACAACGCAUUGGAAUGGUUGCCAAAUACACAAGUGUCAAGUGUAAAUGAAGAUGUGGUUUCUGCAAAAAUGUAACCCUCUCUGCAGUGAAUUCCUCAGGCAGUGCGGGGAAUACAAGAAAAA